GGGCCGGUAGAUCAGAGGAAGAUCGCUGCCUUCGCAAGGCAGAGGUCGCGGGUUCAAAUCCCGCCCGGUCCA
rnacentral:tRNA from 1 species